AUCCAGCUGACGGGUCCCAAAUAGAACGAAACGCGCGUGAAACUGAAU
rfam:Schistosoma margrebowiei strain Zambia genome assembly, scaffold: SMRZ_contig0002327